GUCCCUACAUUUAUAGUAGAAAUAAGACUGCGGUCUAGGUCUAGACUCCGGGCAAAAGGAAAUAUAUUCUCAUGGGAGAGCUGGAGUGCUCGGGAGUGGUCUAGACUUCGAGCAUCCGUCGUCCGGAGAGGAUCUCGGUACUCUUUACUCGACGUCACUCACAAUCACCUACUUUCGAGUUUUGCGAAAGCAUCUAGGACUGUCAAAACUUCAUUAUCGUCCGGACCGAAACGAAAAGAAGUUUCGUAGAACUCUCUGGUUUUAGACGUUAAAAACCGUGGUACAACAGUAGUUCGUUAUAUAAACGUCCAAACUCCAGAUUCACCUCUUAUACCUAGAACACCUCUAUUACGUUUGGGAGUGUUUAAGGGAACUAAUAAAGUAUCGCGAAACAGGUAACUCUAAGAGAAGUAACUCUUUAACACGCCGUACCCUGUUAACGUUGCUUCGACAGGUUGUACGUACUAUUUUCUAUUCUCGUUUUUAUAUCAUACUAGAUAACCUAUAACACAACUGAGUGUUCCUUUCUGGUUUUAUGUUUUUUUUCUCCGUUUACUAACGAUACGCAACGUACAGAUGGAUCCGCUUAGAUGUACGGAUACAUUGUUUAAGUUCUACGUACCCAGACGUACAUCUCUCGCGAUAGUUUAUUAGUUCCUUAAACGCUCCCAAAUGUAAUAGAAGUGUUCUCAAUAUAACAAGCGAAUCUGGAAUCUGGAAGUUUGUAUAAAGAUCUACUGUUAUACUACGAUUUUUAACGCCUAAAAACAAAGAGUACUACGAACCUCCUUUUUGUUUCGAUUCGAUAACGAAGUUUUGUCAAACCUAGAUACAUUAGAUCGGUCGGUUGUUAGAAGCUUUCGAGCUAAAGAAACACAUAAAAUAAUUAAUAUACGGAAGGAACGGGACAAGUAAUUGUUCAACUAUACCUAAAAUACGUCCCGUAGUCUGAGAAUUCUACCUUUUAGUGUAAUCUCGAUGUGUACAUCAAAAACGAAUAUUAGCAUGUUAUGAUCACCCCUUUUUGCCCGUAACUACUUUACCCACCCGCGUAACAUCUAAAUGGAAACAAUUACAACAAACGUUCAAUUGUAGUCUAGACAUAUACACACAUAUAUAAUGUACAGAACGACAGUAUUAUAUACUUACGUUAUCCAAGAACUUUGAACCCCCUAAUCCAACCUCUUUAGUGGUCCUCCUAUAAACUACGCACAUCAUGCGUGUCCGACAUCAGUAACCGAACUGUUUUGUCUUGCUUGUUUAUGAAGAAAAGUCUGAACGUACCCAUCCAGUAUCCAACACGUCCAUUCGAGUAAAUACCCGGUGCCGUACGAGGUGAUUGGAGAAAAAACAUCUUGGACACAUGUAGUAAGGUACGACGAGGCUCGACCACCUACUCUAGUUCGGAGCAACCAACAGGUUGUCUUUACCCAAGACCACCCGACGUCGCUUUACGUGGAUUCUAUAUAACCCUUCGGUAAGGUAGAUUGCCGGGCAGGAAGUAUCUAUAGUAAUGACUUAAUCUCCAAAGGCCGUCGUCUAGUCCUCGUUUGUACUUCUAUGACACCUCUGUUCCGUUCUUCUUCUUUGUCAGGUCCGUUACUUCUCACCGGGGAGACGAGUAUGAGGUACUAUCAAGAAGGGCAAUUGACUAGCCGGUUCGCUCCUAUCCCCGACUACCGUGAUCUUUUCAUCGCAUAGCGGACUAAAACAGUAACGAAGAAGCCUGGACUAAAAAUACCAGAGUAAGAGUUAAAGUCAAUGUCGAGAUCAGACCUAAUAGAGUGUAUCUCGUUUGGCCUCACUGGUAAUAUAGAUCGAAAGACCAAAGCAAUUGUAAACCCAACUACCUAUACAGUAGAUACCUACAUAACCAAUGCUGAACGUCGAAAUUUAUCGACGAUGAGUGUCACUCUUAAAGUAUAGUGUAGUACACGGACUUAUUAUCCGCCGAGGGAGAAAAUAAGUAAAGGUUCGUUUAUUCUUGACACGAUGCACGUGAGUGUAGGCCAAACUGUCAUUAUAAUAAACAUUUUGACUUG
rnacentral:rRNA from 1 species